rnacentral:lncRNA from 1 species
GAAGAGGCAGUCUUCGUAAACGGUGAAACACUAAAACGGCAUCAGUCCAUCAACCAAGAAGAAUCAAUAAAGGCUUUGCAUAUUUAGUUUACCAAAAAGUUAGUAGAAGCAUCAAGACUCAUACCCAUCUCCUCAUCUCCUGAGUCCUGACGUCUCUCAAAGAAAGAAGAAUCCUGCCCAUAUCCUUCUACAUACAAUUGUUUAAUCAAGGUCAACUUUCACUAACAAACUAUUGAUCUCGAAAGAAAGGUAUAUAUCUUUUUUACAGUUUCUUCAAUUUUUUCAUCAAUAGACUACAAAAGAUUGGCUUCCCUCUCGAAAACGGAAAAGUAAGUCUGAUUAGUAUUUGUUUGUGUUCAAGAUUUGUUGCUAAUUUUCUCAUUGCACAGAGGUUUAUUUUGUUAGGUUUCUUUUUGAAGGAUCUGUUUCACACUUCCAAGAAGAAGAAAUGCCAAGAUGAAAUUAGGUCCCUUUGAUCCAAAGAUAUGUUUUGAUUCGUAUUCAAAUUGUGUGCAAAGUGUUAAGACUUAAGAGCUGAUGAAAUUGAAGUCAAAGUAUUGCUUUGAAAGUAUUUUGGUUACCUUAAUUUAUCGGUGUAAGGAAUAUUUUGAU